CAUUGUUUAAAAGUGCUACUCUUAAAAAUGGUAUAAUGAGUGUUCCUGCCGAUGUCAAUGAACAAUAAUAAAGUAUUGUGCAUUAGUACUAACUUAUUUAGAUAUAGGUACUUAUAUGUGUGACACAUGCGUAAUUUUCAAAUUAUUAGAAAUGUCGAGAAGUUAACUAAUAUACAAAAUAUUUAGGAUCUUCAUAUCUUACUACAUCCGCCCAGUUUCAAAAUUGCAUGAAUUUACGAAGAUCUAUUUUCAAUCUAUGAGUUUGACUAUCCCUCUGGUAUCUUUCGUCCCCCUUUUACUGUAUAGAAAGCUUAUGUUUUCACACUGUACUGACUUGUGUAAGUGCUGGAAUUGUAGUUUGUUUACACAAUUUAUACACACUCAUAGUAGUUACCAGGAUUUAAUUUUGUAUUUGAACUGACGCUCGAUUAAAAAAAAAGUUAAAAAGGCCAAAUCAAGUACACAGUUGAGGAGCAUGAAGACCAAAUACAGCUAAGGUAAUAUAUUACUGAGGUAGAAAAGCCUUAGUUUUUUCAAAUAUUUACAUUUUUUAAAACUGUUAAUUCACAGUUAUGACUAUAUCAAUGAUAGUUCGUGUCUACACAUCUGUUUGUGUCCAUGUACGAAGAUAGAACUAUAACAUCACAAAAUAGGUUUGACUGUUUGACUCGUUUUUUAAUAAGCCUCUCC
rnacentral:lncRNA from 1 species